UUCAGGUACGUCAACAAUUCAAGAUGAUCUUUCUUCAGAUGGGGUUUGAGGAGAUGCCCACAAACAAUUUUGUUGAAAGCAGCUUCUGAAAUUUUGAUGCACUUUUUCAGCCACAACAGCAUCCUGCUCGUGAUUCUCACGACACAUUCUUCCUCCAAGUUCCUUCCACUACAAAGACACUACCAGAAGAUUAUGUUGAGAGGGUGAAGAACAUUCAUGAAUAUGGAGGACAUGGUUUAAGAGGUUAUGGAUAUGACUGGAAACGAGAGGAAGCAGACAAAAACCUUCUAAGAACUCG